GACGUAGGGCGCAAGCGUUGUCCGGAUUUAUUGGGCGUAAAGAGCUCGUAGGCGGCCUGUCGCGUCGACCGUGAAAACCCGCAGCUCAACUGCGGGCUUGCGGUCGAUACGGGCAGGCUGGAGUUCGGUAGGGGAGACUGGAAUUCCUGGUGUAGCGGUGAAAUGCGCAGAUAUCAGGAGGAACACCGGUGGCGAAGGCUGGUCUCUGGGCCGAUACUGACGCUGAGGAGCGAAAGCGUGGGGAGCGAACAGG
rnacentral:rRNA from 1 species